UACGUAGGGUGCGAGCGUUGUCCGGAAUUAUUGGGCGUAAAAGGGCUCGUAGGCGGUCUGUUGCGUCAGGAGUGAAAACUCGGGGCUUAACCCCGAGCCUGCUUCUGAUACGGGCAGACUAGAGGUAUGCAGGGGAGAACGGAAUUCCUGGUGUAGCGGUGAAAUGCGCAGAUAUCAGGAGGAACACCGGUGGCGAAGGCGGUUCUCUGGGCAUUACCUGACGCUGAGGAGCGAAAGUGUGGGGAGCGAACAGG
rnacentral:rRNA from 1 species